rnacentral:lncRNA from 13 species
UUUUUUUUUCUAUUCCAGGAGAAUAGGAGGAGAAAAUAAGGCAAAAAUCAACAGCAGCCAAAUCUGGACCAUCUAGUGACUUAUGCUCAUCGAUUAGGACUGCAUCACCUGGGUACAUUAAAUUUCAAGAAAUUCUGAGAGGAAAUUCAUGCUGCUACAAAACAAAUCUUAGUGACUAAAACGAAGAAUGUAUUCUGAUUACCCCCGUGUGAGUUUCUCUUGGCACUGAAAACAGCCCCAUCCCCACCUGGUACACUUUAUACAAGAGACAUCUGUUUACAUUACUAUAGUUCUAAGAUGAGUUUUAAUUUUCAACGGUCUUAAUCUUGAGUUUUACUCUUGUAUAAUUUAUUAGCACCCAAUAAAGGAGGCUCUUUUUCUAAAUGGCA